rnacentral:sRNA from 1 species
AUUCAUUGACCCUAUGCAUUUGGACAGUUCUAACAGGUCAAUUUUAGUUUCGGAACUUUCAUGAAAGGGAUUUUUCAUAUUCGAAAAAACUUCGAGACAAAGGCAAUGGUCCAAGUUCCAGUAAGCCAAACUACUACGAAAACAUCGUUUUCAUGGCUUGUGGAAAGCUCGUGGCUCGAUUACGUAAUAUUUCUUGUGGUGUGAUUUUUCAUAUAAACCUCUUAUUUACCACUUUUAUGACUGAUACCAUUAACAUAGUCAAUUUCUGGAAGCAAUUAAAGGGAAAAAUGAAAAAAAAGUGUACCAAUCAACCAUUGUGUUUGAUCAUCCCACCAUUUAAGUAGUAAUCGUGUGAUAGUGCGUAUGUAUCACCAUAUUUGGCUAUCAGUGCCCACAAAAGUAAAUAAAAUUUUAUUAUAAGCCAUAUCAUAUUUGGCAACCAGAUUAUAGGCUGAAUUUAGAGCACAACAUGUUAUAAUCCGAUGCAAAGGUGCCCUGUAUAUAAGAUCAGUUCAAGGCUUCAAGCAUAGGCCUCUGGGUUUGCCACAAGAUAAGCAUCCACUACCUUGAGGAGAGCCAAGCCUUCUUCCUUUGCAGCCUUGAAAUCCUCCUCUUUGACAUCAACCCCUGCUUUGGGCUGAUAAGUGCUGACAUUCUUGGUCUUGCAACCUCCCUCUUCAGUGGCCUCGAACUUAAGCUCAUGUGAAAUUGAAUCCACUUUUUCAAGUGCACCAUCCCCCUCAAUCACUGCGUAGCUGUAAGUCAAUUUCUCAGGGUCAAUUGCAUCAAUUCUAUGCUUCAAGUGUUUGAUCUUAUCACCUGCAUUGAAGGCAUUACCAAUAACGAUCUCUGUUAGUCAUUUCUGUUUGAAACCUACCAAAAGAGAUAUGGGAUUAUCUCAAAAUAUACUUAGAAAACCAACUCUAGAGCACAUAACUAAUGAUUAUAUGAUUUAAGAUCACAUGGUUAGAGAAAUCAUUAUAUGAUUUAGAACUACCAUGUGUCUAUUAUCUUCUUUGGUCUUCACAUGACACACAAUUAGUCACAAAUAACAACAAAAAAUGAUAAAGUCAAAAUCAGUGUGAAAUGGUGCAACUGACCUUCAGCAAUGGUUAUCUCCUGAAUGCUUCCAGGACCUCCAUUCCCUUCAACCAAUUGAACAUUCUUAAUGGCCUCAGGCAUCAGUUUGGGAAUGAGGUUUGGAGCAUCAAGGAUCAAAGCCUUGAACAACCUUCCUGGCUGGACAGUGCUAGUAAACUCCUCUGUGAAAGUGAGUGCCCCCAUGCUGCUUAGAAGUUUGAAUUGAACUACAAGAUAUUGAUAGAAACUUAAAGUUUAUGAGCACUAGGAAAUGCAGUGAUGUGAGAUAUCAGAGAUAUGAGUAUUUAUAGAUGAAGAGGAUAACAAAGCAAUUAAUACCACAUUUGACAAUAUUUCAACAAACUACGAAGGUGCCUGUCCCACUAGAGUAAAGUGGACCGUCCCUUUGCAUGCCUUAUUAAUUCCAAUGGAAGUCUUUGUUUCCUUCACCAAAGUAAACAUCUAAUCGGACAACGCAACCUGUGACCCUAAUGCUCCUAAAUCUAUGCAGUGACUGAUUUUAUGAAAUCACAUACAUGAAGUAGGCUGAUUAAUAAUAUACUCUAGCAUGUUUUUGGCAACCAUAGUGGAAUGAAUUUUUCACUGUAAAUCCUAACACCUUAACAUUUUUAGGGAUAAGACCUCUCCAAGGUGUAAUAGAUUCCAAUAUUUCCUCAGCAUGACUUCAACAUACGCCCACCGACUCACCGCUAUUUUAAGCAUGCCCAACAUAAAUGAGGGGGUUGGAUUUCUAUUUGAGUCUCUAAUGCAGUUGAGAAUUUAUUGGCUUCAAUUUAUGCACCCACUUUGUGUAGGCACAAGGAUCUCAAUUUAACUAAGAAGCAAAUACAAAAAUCUUGAGAAAUAUAAUAGGUGUGUGGAAAUGGAUCUAGCCUCAUAAAACCAGAGCAAAUUACAGUAAAACAAUAAAGAAUCAUGUUCUUUCCUUUUCACCAUCUUAAUGCUAUAGUUCUCCCUACGGUAUUCAUAGCCAUCAAUGACUGAUCAUGGUUGCUCUUUUUGCAUAUCAGAGACCAUAGGCUCCUAGUGUGCCUGCCUACCUGUCUAAAAACAAGCAUCGAACUCAUUGAUGAAUUUCCAUUCCCCCACCUUGUAACAGAUUGCUUUAAACUUUUAAUGAGUUGUUUGACUAUUUACUGGAAAAUAAAUAAAUUCUAUGUAGAUAAAUAGAAGUUGAUCGAAGCUUGUCGUAAUUAAUGGCCGAAAUAGGUAGUUGUGGUCUCCAUUUUUAGUUCAGCAUCAUUCUCUCUGUAAAGGAAAAAUUACAGCCGAAGAACACAAAAAUGUAAUGUCAAUCCAAGGGGAGAAAAUUAAAGUGGUUACAAUCAGAGUAUUUUUAAUAAUUGUAAUCCACUCAAUAACUACAUUAAAUCAGAGUAUUUUUUGUGGCUAUUAAG